rnacentral:rRNA from 1 species
AACGAACGCUGGCGGCAGGCUUAACACAUGCAAGUCGGACGCCCCGCAAGGGGAGUGGCAGACGGGUGAGUAACGCGUGGGAAUCUACCUUGAACUGCGGGAUAGCUCCGGGAAACUGGAAUUAAUACCGCAUGUGCCCGGAAGGGGAAAGGUUUACCGGUUCAGGAUGAGCCCGCGUCGGAUUAGGUAGUUGGUGGGGUAAUGGCCUACCAAGCCGACGAUCCGUAGCUGGUCUGAGAGGAUGAUCAGCCACACUGGGACUGAGACACGGCCCAGACUCCUACGGGAGGCAGCAGUGGGGAAUAUUGGACAAUGGGCGCAAGCCUGAUCCAGCCAUGCCGCGUGAGUGAUGAAGGCCCUAGGGUUGUAAAGCUCUUUCGCUCGCGACGAUAAUGACGGUAGCGAGAGAAGAAGCCCCGGCUAACUUCGUGCCAGCCGCCGCAGUAAUAC